CGGGCCCACUCAUUUCGUAAUCAUCAGCCACACCUCGUACUCAAGCUUCGCCCUUCCACCAUACAACAACACAGCAGCGCACCGCAAUUGCUACAUCUUGCCACCAUCGAUGUACGCUUUUCAGGACGCAUUCAACUGGACCUUUUUUUCGACAAUGAUUUGUGAUUUCAAGAACGGUCUUAAAACGGCCAAGUUUGGGCUCGCCGUCUACGACAUCGAUGCUGACAGCGAGGCUAACCCGUGUCCCCAGGUAUUGUACACCGGACAGUACAAGAGGCUGAUGCUGCUGCAGAACAUCCACAACUUUAUCGAGAACUUCACCAACGUGGCGGAAUGCAAGCUCGUCACCUAGUCGGCAUUUAAGGACUCAACGCUAUGUGGCCCACAAUUGCCGGCCCAGUGGGACAUCUUCAUGGGCCAAGGCGCCUGUCGUAGAUGGAGAGUUUCUUGAACCUACGAGUGUGGCUGUGCUACUGUGAAGUGACUUUGCAGUGCUUUUCUUGUUUUAUGCAUGAUUUUGUUUCAAACCACCAAAUAUUAUAGUUCGAGCAUAGCAUAAUCGAGCCUCUUGCUGCAUAACUUGAGAAAGGAGACUUUAACAUAACUGUAAAUUGACAAGUUGCAUAUUGAUUCAUCGUACACGUGAGGAUAGAAAUUUUGACUUGACCAUAUGAUGUUACAUGUUUACCGCCGUUCACUGAAUCUUGUUCCUUGCGUUUCAUAACUUUAUUUGUACCGCUUCGCCUGCGCCUAUUUAUGGCCCCCGUGAAGGAAAGCGGUGGCGCGCGCUGUUUUCGGUAGACUGGGAGAUAAUUGAUAUCUUGCAUGUCAUAGCAAAUGGGAUGUUAAACACAGGGGUUGUAUGCCA
rnacentral:lncRNA from 1 species